GUCCUGCAAUGCUAACCAAUGGCUUCAAACUCAAGAGAAAUUCUAGGGGUAUCUUUUGGUGAAUAGAUACUCUUUAUCUUAAGGUAUCUUUUGGUGAAUAGAUACUCUUUAUCUUAAGGCACAGCUUUACUGACUAGAGCAAGUUAGUUGUCAGGUGUUAGCUACAAGAACAAACUAUAUUUGGAAGCAUCCCAGGCUCAUCAU